AGAGUUUGAUCCUGGCUCAGGAUGAACGCUGGCGGCGUGCCUAAUACAUGCAAGUCGAGCGAACAGAUAAGGAGCUUGCUCCUUUGACGUUAGCGGCGGACGGGUGAGUAACACGUGGGUAACCUACCUAUAAGACUGGAAUAACUCCGGGAAACCGGGGGCUAAUGCCGGAUAACAUUUAGAACCGCAUGGUUCUAAAGUGAAAGAUGGUUUUGCUAUCACUUAUAGAUGGACCCGCGCCGUAUUAGCUAGUUGGUAAGGUAACGGCUUACCAAGGCAACGAUACGUAGCCGACCUGAGAGGGGUGAUCGGCCACACUGGAACUGAGACACGGUCCAGACUCCUACGGGAGGUAGCAGUAGGGAAUCUUCCGCAAUGGGCGAAAGCCUGACGGAGCAACGCCGCGUGAGUGAUGAAGGUCUUCGGAUCGUAAAACUCUGUUAUUAGGGAAGAACAAAUGUGUAAGUAACUGUGCACGUCUUGACGGUACCUAAUCAGAAAGCCACGGCUAACUACGUG
rnacentral:rRNA from 1 species